AACGUGCUGGUGUGUCUUAAGCAUGCAGUCGGAGAGAACCCGGAGCUUGCUUCGGGGGACAGUGGCGCACGGGUGAGUAACACGUGGGUAAUCUACCCUCGGAUGGGGGAUAGCACUAGGAAACUAGUGAUAAUACCGCAUGACGUCGCCUUGUCACAAGACGAGGUGAAUAAAGGUGCCCUCUGCAUAUGGUACCGUCUGAGGAUGAGCCCGCGGCCUAUUAGCUAGUUGGUAGGGUAACGGCCUACCAAGGCGACGAUGGGUAGCCGGCCUGAGAGGGUGUUCGGCCACAUUGGGACUGAGACACGGCCCAGACUCCUACGGGAGGCAGCAGCUAAGAAUAUUCCGCAAUGGGCGAAAGCCUGACGGAGCGACGCCGCGUGGAGGAUGAAGGCCUUCGGGUUGUAAACUCCUUUUCCUGGGGAAGAAUAAGGCCGGUAGUAACUGACCGGUCGAUGACGGUACCCAGGGAAUAAGCCCCGGCUAAUUACGUGCCAGCAGCCGCGGUAAUACGUAUGGGGCGAGCGUUGUUCGAAUUUACUGGGCGUAAAGGGCUUGUAGGUGGUGAGAUAAGUCAGAUGUGAAAUCCCUGGGCUCAACCCAGGAAGUGCAUCUGAAACUAUUUGACUUGAGUACGGGAGAGGGAAGUGGAAUUCCUGGUGUAGGGGUGAAAUCCGUAGAUAUCAGGAGGAACACCGGUGGCGAAGGCGACUUCCUGGACCGAUACUGACGCUGAUACGCGAAAGCAUGGGGAGCAAACAGGAUUAGAUACCCUGGUAGUCCCAGCCUUAAACGAUGGGCACUAGGUGUAGGAGGUACUGACCCCUCCUGUGCCGCAGCAAACGCAUUAAGUGCCCCCGCCUGGGAGUACGGUCGCAAGGCUG
rnacentral:rRNA from 1 species